rnacentral:rRNA from 1 species
UACGUAGGGUGCGAGCGUUGUCCGGAAUUAUUGGGCGUAAAGGGCUCGUAGGCGGUCUGUCACGUCGGGAGUGAGAACACGGGGCUUAACCCCGUGCCUGCUUCCGAUACGGGCAGACUAGAGGUAUGCAGGGGAGAACGGAAUUCCUGGUGUAGCGGUGAAAUGCGCAGAUAUCAGGAGGAACACCGGUGGCGAAGGCGGUUCUCUGGGCCGUUACUGACGCUGAGGAGCGAAGCGUGGGGAGCGAACAGG